GUGCUUGCUUUGGCAGCACAUAUACCAAAAUUGCAAUGAUACAGAGAAGAUUAACAUGGCCCCUGUGCAAAGAUCACAUGCAAAUUCAUGAAGCAUUCCAUGUUUAA